AACGAACGCUGGCGGCAUGCCUAACACAUGCAAGUCGAACGAGACCUUCGGGUCUAGUGGCGCACGGGUGCGUAACGCGUGGGAACCUGCCCUUAGGUUCGGAAUAACUCCCCGAAAGGGGUGCUAAUACCGGAUAAUGUCUUCGGACCAAAGAUUUAUCGCCUUUGGAUGGGCCCGCGUUGGCUUAGCUAGUUGGUAGGGUAAAAGCCUACCAAGGCGACGAUCCAUAGCUGGUCUGAGAGGAUGAUCAGCCACACUGGGACUGAGACACGGCCCAGACUCCUACGGGAGGCAGCAGUGGGGAAUAUUGGACAACGGGCGAAAGCCUGAUCCAGCAAUGCCGCGUGAGUGAUGAAGGCCUUAGGGUUGUAAAGCUCUUUUACCCGGGAUGAUAAUGACAGUACCGGGAGAAUAAGCUCCGGCUAACUCCGUG
rnacentral:rRNA from 1 species